rnacentral:rRNA from 1 species
ACUAGUGAUUUCCGUAGGUGAACCUGCGGAAGGAUCAUUAACACUAAUCCAUACAACUCAACGAAGCCUUUAGUUGCAGUAGUGAAAGCUACAGCAGCAUCUUAAAAAACUAAUCGUAAAAGGAAAAUAACUAAAACCAACCACAAAAACCAAAUUCUCAACGGUGGAUGUCUUGGUUCCUACAACGAUGAAGAACGCAGCGAAGUGCGAUAAGCAGUGCGAAUUGCAGAACCGUGAGUCAUCAGAUUUUUGAACGCAACUGGCACCGUAUGGGGUCACCCAUCGGUACGCCUGGUCCAGUGUCUUGUUCUCUCUUAACCCAAAUCCUAAUGCGAGAGAUGCCCUUCUCUUGUUAAGCAUGAAAGCACUCUAGCUUUGCGAGUGAUCUUCGGAUCGCACUCAAUGCAGCAGUCACAUUUUUCAAUGUGAACUCAUUGAGAGUAAAGGUAGUGAAGAGCAAUCUUCAAGUGCUUAGACACACCAACUUAGGUAAAGUAUCUGGGCUCAGGUGGGACCACCCGCUGAACUUAAGCAUAUCAAUAAGCGGAGGAAA